CUCGGGCCACGCUGCGCUGCGCGUCGCCAUUGGCACGGAGGAGAGCGGCGGCCAAUCAGCGCUGGGAGAGGCGGGGUGGCGGUCACGCCAACCGCUGGCGAUUGGCUGUACCCACAGCAGCUUGACCAAUAGCGGGGUCACAGAGGCCAUAAAAGACACAGCGUGGCGCACGUGCGGUCUUUCCAGCCAGAGGGCUCGGCGGGAACCGGCCGCGACGGGGGACCCGGCGGAGGCGGCGUCCCGGAGCCUCCGUGCCCGAUCCGCAGCUGUCCCCGGCGUUCUGGCCCGGUAAAACGCGGUGUCCCUUGUUCUGGUAAGUGGGGCUGAGCCCCGUGCGGAAAUGCUCCUACUCUACAACGAGGCGGCUCUUGAAGCACAAAGAAGCAACUGCAGAAUGGACUGGAGGAAAGAAUCCACCGCCUUUGACUCUCGCUCGUGGGUUAGUUCAAGGUGAAUAUCCUGGCAAGGUUCUGGGUGCAGUAGUGGGAGUAAGCGAAGGGAUUUACACUCUUAACUCAAAUGCUACAGUGUUUAGAUGGAGAAUUUAAAUUUUUUUUCGAAGGUAACAAGUUACUCCUUUAACGUUUUCUAAGUCUGAAGACCAGCCUUAUUUUUAAAUGCCUUACUGCUGUAUUUCUGUUUUAGCUUCUAUAUAAAGUAAAUUUUGUAGCUUACAGCAGAAUAAAGUUUUGAAAAGUC